UAGUUCAAUCCCUCGUCUUAACAGUAUUUUCUCUCAACACCCAUUAUUUGAUGAAGAUUAAACUUGCACAAGACAUUAAUCAUUUUAAAAAAUAUAUUAAAUUUAUUACUGGUAAUUAAUUAUUUUGUUUGAUACCGACAAGGGAAAUUAAUCCUUCAGUAUUUACAAAUAUGCAGGGUUUGGUCUCCUUGGAUAAUUGUACAUGCUAUUUCUCUUACAUCCCUAUCUCGGAUCAAGUUGAAACUAUAUCGGCACUUGCCGUUUCUUUCGAUACAUCCGCUUCAUGGAGAGGGAGGGUCUGCUUGUGGGGGACAUCGCUCCCACCAUAGCUAGUGCCAGGCAUUCAUUUCCAUGAAUGAUCCAUAGUCGCUUAACGACUGAAGAAGGAUAUAUAUAUAUAUAUAUAUAUAUAUAUAUAUAUAUAUAUAUAUAUAUAUAUAUAUAUUGGUAAUUAAUUAUUUUGUUUGAUAUUGAUUAGGAGAAAUAUCUUUUAUAUUAUUGAGAGAUAUUGAUGUAUGUGCAGAGUUCUUUCCCUUAGAUAAGCUUUGUUUGUUUUUUAAAGGAUUUUUUAAUAUUUCGCUUGUUAAAAGUAAUACACCCAGUUCAGUUUUAACUUCUUGCAGUUAAUAGUGUCAUAAAACUGAAUGCUUAUGGAACUUUUUUCAAAGUGGCAAUGAUUAUUUGGUGUUUCGUAGUAAUAAGCACAUGCUUCAUUAUGUCUUUCUAAUUAAAUAUGUAUUUACAUUUCAAAAACAGUUAUGUUUGAGAACUGUUAAUCAUUGGUGAAAUACAGCGCUGUAUCUAUCCAUUGCUAAUCAGUUGAGAUUAAAUUUCUAAUGUAUUAUCAUUAGACAGCACAUCACUAUACGAAAACUGCAUUUUUAUAACCUUCCGAGUAGCAGAAAAAAAAAACAAAAAAAAACUAGUGUAUCUUUUGUUCAACUAUUUGCUGUUCAGCAAGUAAAGCCAAUCCUAUUAAAAAUAAUUAUUUUGAAAAUGAUAGCUCUGCUGAACUAAGUUGCACUGGUAAAGUCAGAAAUAGCGAGUGCAUGCAUUGACAAUGUUUAUAAUAGUAACAGCUAUCGUUAAUUAAAAAAAAACAACUGGUGAUGAUCAAUAUCCUAUGAUCGAGCUACUUCUGCAGCUUCAAUUUUAUUCUUUCAAAGUCAUUUAUCAUAUUAUAAAAGAUUAUUAUUAUUUUUCUGAUUUAUAUAGAUUUUGCUCCCAACAUGUCUGACUAGCUUUGAUUGCGCUUACUCUUUUGGACUAAGUUAAUAAGCAGAACGCGUAUUGAAUUUGUUUCGAUCUCCUCCCCCCUCCCCCCCCCUCCCCCGCUGACUGAUACUGCUUGGGUUUUCUGUUCCCCAAAGGAGUUUGUGUUCACGCAUUUAGCACAUAAAAGGAUGUAAAUCGCAUGGCUUUUAGACCAUCCUUUCUUCACGACCGUCUUUUAGAACACAAUGUAAAUAUUAUAUAAAUUGAGACUCACCCAUGUUGAUAUGUUUUGAGCAAAACAAGACAAAAUAAAAAAGCUUAUACAUUUUGCACUAAGUCAUAAAGAAAUCUGAAACGUAGUUUGUACAGGAAACGUAUUGCUAAAUCGUCUGCCUUAGUAUAAUUUAAGCUCACUUCUGAUAAAGCCACCAUCCUUUCCAUUAAACAACAACAAAUACUUUUCUUGUGUGUAUUUUGUUUAAUUAAGUCUGCGGACUGAGUUCUGGUCAGCCAGGGUCUCCUGACAACUUUAGAGGAGAAGGGGGCAAUUCAGGUUGUUUACUUCAAGAUUGUUUUUGUUUUGGAUUGUUACAUUACACAUUGUGAGAUGUUUUUUGAAUGAAAUAUAACUCAUAGUAAAACAGAGAGGUUUUUGUUUAUAGUCCAGGACAGUUGGAGUUUAGUUUCUAGAGUUGGUAAAGUUUAUUGGCAAAAAUCAAAACCCAUUUAGGCAACUGUUUGAGAAAAACAUUCAUAAGAGAGCUAAAAAGAUUUUAGAGAUAACAAAACACUCUUUGGGUAUGGAUUUUGUGAUUUUUCCAUCACAGAAGGGAUACAAGACACCGAUGGCAAAGACAAACAGACACAAACACUCUUUUGUCCUUCUGGCAAUCAAAUCAUUAAAUAAAGUUCAACUAUUGUCCCCCUGGCAUUCAAAUCUUUUACUAUAAAGUAGAAUGUAAGGAGUAUGUAUGUCCCGAAUAGAAAUCAAAACCGUUUGACCAAUCUUGAUGAAACUUUGCACAAAUGUUCCUUGGGCGCUAACUGGAACAGUGACGUAUGUAUAGUAGCCCUAAAACAAACUAUAGAUCCUCAAAAAAAAAAGUUGCCCAACUCUAUGAAAGUAUUUCUAUUUCAUGGAUCUAGGCCUUGUUUACCAUGUUUAGAUCGAAAGGAUCUAGAUAUAGAUCUAAUUUUUAAAACUACACUUUGCACAUAUAUUCUUUUACUUUGACAUAUAAAAAUACAAAAUAUAGUCUAUUGAUUUCAUUAUUUAAUAAAAUUAACCUUCAAAUUUGUGUUUCAAAAGCAUUUUUACAUAAAUUCGUUCCUUAUUUAGACUCCUGACGUACUUUAUAAACCCAUUCAUUUAACAAAUCGGGUAAACCCGCUUUAAUUGUACUUUAUAUUCUAUUCAUCUCGUGCUCCUUUUGUUUUUAAUACAUAUGAACAUAGACUAUAUAUAUAUACAGGACUGCCAACACUAAGGUAACUGAGCAUAAGUUUGGUUCAACGCCAAACCUAAGGGCGAGGUACUUCCGGUAUAAACUUAUUUUGCGACAUCUACGAUGAUUGAAUGAUGCUGCCAGCUUGGAUAAUUUUUUUUUCUCAUUUCAUCACAUUUGACAAUUAUUUUUUUACACUGUAUACUAUUGAUAUGAGUUGAAUAAGUGAUUAACGGAAGAGUCAAUACAUUUUCGAUAGUGUCAUUUUUUACCUAGGUAGUCCGAUAUAAUGGAUGAUAUAAGUUAAGUCUGUGAGUGAGUCAGUCUAAAAAUAUAACAAUAGUGAGUCACUGAGCCUAUAUAUAUACACACGAACUCACAUUUUUACUAACUUUUAUUAACAUCUGUACCUAUUUUCUUUUGUACUAAUGGAGAAUCAACCAUUAAAAAUUAAAAGCAUUUAUAUAUUUAUGACUAACUAAAAAAAUAUGCAUAAAACUUUCGGCUCUGCAAGUUAUUAAUUUUUUUAGCUAAAUACAAUUCCAAAUAUCAAAUUCUUCUAAAUACCAUAAUAAUAAUUUGAGAUUUUUCCCAAUUUUUCUUCGCCCAAUAGAAUUCUAGAAUCAUUGGGCCCUACUUCACUAAAAAGUAAUUUUACACGUAGUAAACAUGUAAACUUUGACGCAAACUUAGUGACCUAUGACUAUAAACUAUAUCUACAAAUACGACCAUACAAACUACUAUAAUAUAUUUUGGAACAAAAGUGCUUAAUGGGAUUUUAAUUAUAUAUAUAUAUAUAUAUAUGUAUAUAUAUAUAUAUAUAUAUAAACUAGGUAGAACACUAUCUAUGUAAAUGCUCUUUUUUAAGUUGCUAAAUCAGAUUUUGUUGUUAUAAAAAUCUGGCUAUGCCUAUAGAUUCUAGCUCUGUUACCAAAAUUAUGACUAAGAAAUAUUUUGAACGUAGUGUUUAUCUACUCAUGUUAACUUCUUGAUUUAAUUGUUCGUUUUAUUGCUGGAAUCCUUUUGCUAUCUAGAUAGAUCUCUCCAGCUUCAUCAUCAAAUUCUGUCUGUAUCAGAUAAUCUAGAUCUAUAUAUCAUAUGUAGAUGAUCUUUUGAAUGAUGAUUAUCAUUGAUUAUAUGAUUAUGUCAUUAUGAUCUGACUUUCUCAACUUUCUGCUUGAACUUGUGCUUGGCUCACAGAUCAUUUUUAAUGAUAUAUUUUAUUUUACUUCAGAUUCUAUCUAGAUCAUAUUAUCUAUAUAGAUCAAUAUUCUAUAGUCUAUUACUAUGAGUCAUUACUCAUACUCACUCGUAGGCCUACUAAUACAAACUUAUACUCUGUGGCAUUUUACGUCUCGAGAGACGAUCUUUUCCCUUUGCAACUUCUUGUGUGUGACUAAAGAGGCCAAUCCUUGAUACACAGCUGCGAUCGCAGGUUGGGCAUAUGUAAUCACCAGGCACCGUUGCAUUUUCACCCUUCUUUCUGCUUCUGUUCUAUUCAGUAUUCUAGAUAUAAAUCGAGUUAUCUAGACUCUCUAUUUAUAUUAGAUCUAGAUUAUAUUCUUCAUUAAUGAUUAAACUUCAGACUCGAAGACAAUCCUUAUUAUAUAUUAUUAUGUAUUGAGAGACAUAGAUAUAGAAUAUGGAUCUUUAUACUGAUUUACUGUUUCUUAUAAGCAACACUACUGUCUUAAGCCCUUGCCCAUUAGUCUACUCGUUUACUACCUCUAUUGAUCACUACUCAUAUCUUGUAUAGAUCCAAAUAUCAACAACUAGUAGAUAGGACUAGCCAAUCUAGUUGGAUCUAUUUUCUUUACUCUCACACAUGCCAGGCCGUACCAAACUGAGCUGUGUAUCUACUAUUCACACUAGAGAUCUAGAUCUAAAUAUUAUGGUCUUAACUUUUCUUUAAGUACAAAAGAAGUGCACAAAGGAUCCCAAAUAUAUCUUAAAUUGCUACCAUUCAUGGUGUGGAUUAAAAUUUUACCCAGAUGCCACAGUAUAUUCUUAUGGUUUUCAAAAGAAUUUGUACUUAGUGUCAGAAGCUGUAUAAGUACAUUUAACAAUGUGGAUUUCAAGACGAAAUGAUGCUUUCUUAUUCCUAAGAGUUUAUAAACAGAAUGGAUGCCAGAAACUUUUAAACUGAAACUUCUAUACAAGAAUUCGUUCAGUGCCUGUGAUCCUCUGAGCUGAAGGAGAAUGACUGUGCUCCAUAAUACCUACCAGUAUCUUGCUGUUAGCUGGAAGCUCAUGAAUAUUAUGUUGUCCUUGCUAUGAUGAUAUUCAAACUACAAUUUCUGAGGACU